GCUAAAGUGCGGCAAAGAGGCGCGGGAAGACGUGGGGGGCUGGAGUGAAGCGGAAUUACUGGUCGGAAAGCGUGCGAGGGCGGUUUUGUAAGACGGAUGUGAAAUCCCCGGGCGCAACCUGGGAACUGCAGUGGUGACUGCAGGGCUGGAGUGCGGCAGAGGGGGAUGGAAUUCCGCGUGUAGCAGUGAAAUGCGUAGAUAUGCGGAGGAACACCGAUGGCGAAGGCAAUCCCCUGGGCCUGCACUGACGCUCAUGCACGAAAGCGUGGGGAGCAAACAGGAUUAGAUACCCCGGUAGUC
rnacentral:rRNA from 1 species